rnacentral:rRNA from 1 species
GACAGAGGUCCCGAGCGUUAGGCGGAAUCACUGGGCUUAAAGCGUGUGUAGGCGGACUUCUAAGUACCUUGUGAAAUCCCACGGCUCAACCGUGGAACUGCUUGGUAUACUGGUUGUCUUGGGCCAUCUAGGGGCGAGCGGAACAAACGGUGGAGCGGUGUAAUGCGUAGAUAUCGUUUGGAACGCCAAUGGUGAAAACAGCUCGCUGGGGAUGUGCCGACGCUGAGACACGAAAGCCAGGGGAGCGAACGGG